rnacentral:rRNA from 1 species
GAUGAACGCUGGCGGCGUGCCUAAUACAUGCAAGUCGAGCGGACGGACGAGAAGCUUGCUUCUCUGAUGUUAGCGGCGGACGGGUGAGUAACACGUGGAUAACCUACCUAUAAGACUGUGAUAACUUCGGGAAACCGGAGCUAAUACCGGAUAAUAUUUUGAACCGCAUGGUUCAAAAGUGAAAGACGGUCUUGCUUUCACUUAUAGAUGGAUCCGCGCUGCAUUAGCUAGUUGGUAAGGUAACGGCUUACCAAGGCAACGAUGCAUAGCCGACCUGAGAGGGUGAUCGGCCACACUGGGACUGAGACACGGUCCAGACUCCUACGGGAGGCAGCAGUAGGGAAUCUUCCGCAAUGGGCGAAAGCCUGACGGAGCAACGCCGCGUGAGUGAUGAAGGUCUUCGGAUCGUAAAACUCUGUUAUUAGGGAAGAACAUAUGUGUAAGUAACUGUGCACAUCUUGACGGUACCUAAUCAGAAAGCCACGGCUAACUACGUG